UACGUAGGGUGCGAGCGUUAAUCGGAAUUACUGGGCGUAAAGCGUGCGCAGGCGGUUCGUGAUGUCUGAUGUGAAAGCCCCGGGCUUAACCUGGGAAUGGCAUUGGAAACUAGCGGGCUGGAGUGUGGCAGAGGGGGGUGGAAUUCCACGUGUAGCAGUGAAAUGCGUAGAUAUCGGGAGGAACACCUGUGGCGAAAGCGGCGCACUGGACCACAUCUGACGCUGAGGCGCGAAAGCUAGGGGAGCAAACAGG
rnacentral:rRNA from 1 species